rnacentral:rRNA from 1 species
UACAGAGGGUGCGAGCGUUAAUCGGAAUUACUGGGCGUAAAGCGUGCGUAGACGGUUAUUUAAGUCGGGGGUGAAAGCCCCGGGCUCAACCUGGGAAUUGCAUUCGAGACUGAAUAGCUAGGGUACGGUAGAGGGAAGUGGAAUUUCCGGUGUAGUGGUGGAAUGCGUAGAUAUCGGGAGGAACACCAGUGGCGAAGGCGGUUGCCUGGAGCUUUGCUGACGCUGAGGCGCGAAAGCGUGGGGAGCGAUCCGG